GAUGAACGCUGGCGGCGUGCCUAAUACAUGCAAGUCGAGCGAACAGACGAGGAGCUUGCUCCUCUGACGUUAGCGGCGGACGGGUGAGUAACACGUGGAUAACCUACCUAUAAGACUGGGAUAACUUCGGGAAACUGGAGCUAAUACCGGAUAAUAUAUUGAACCGCAUGGUUCAAUAGUGAAAGACGGUUUCGCUGUCACUUAUAGAUGGAUCCGCGCCGCAUUAGCUAGUUGGUAAGGUAACGGCUUACCAAGGCAACGAUGCGUAGCCGACCUGAGAGGGUGAUCGGCCACACUGGAACUGAGACACGGUCCAGACUCCUACGGGAGGCAGCAGUAGGGAAUCUUCCGCAAUGGGCGAAAGCCUGACGGAGCAACGCCGCGUGAGCGAUGAAGGUCUUCGGAUCGUAAAACUCUGUUAUUAGGGAAGAACAAAUGUGUAAGUAACUAUGCACGUCUUGACGGUACCUAAUCAGAAAGCCACGGCUAACUACGUG
rnacentral:rRNA from 1 species